rnacentral:misc_RNA from 1 species
AUAGGGUUUUCAGAACCCAAAGUCAAAAACCCUUGAUUUCAAGCACUCAGCCUCCGACACCACCAUGAGUUUAAUUGCAGGCUCCUACGAGAAAUUCAUCUGGGGUUUCAAGCUCAAGCCCUUAAAACACAACGAUUCACAGGAAACCUUAACUCUAAUCCCUCUCUUCUCCUACCCUGCCCACCUCGCCCCCAUCACCACAGCCGCUGCCGCUGGCCCAGCCGCCGCAUCCGGUUCUUCCGACGAUACC